rnacentral:rRNA from 1 species
CCUACGGGCGGCUGCAGUGGGGAAUAUUGGACAAUGGGGGGAACCCUGAUCCAGCGACGCCGCGUGAGUGAAGAAUUAUUUCGGUAUGGAAAGCUCUAUCAGCAGGGAAGAAAAUGACGGUACCUGACUAAGAAGCCCCGGCGAACUACGUGCCAGCAUCGGCGGUAAUACGCAGGGGGCAAGCGUUAUUAGGGUUUACGGGGGGUAAAGGGAGCGUAAACGGGUCAGCAAGUGUGAUGGGAAAGUUCGGGGCCCAACCCCGGUACUGCAUUGGAAACUGUCGAACUGGAGUACAGGAGAGGUAAGCGGAAUUCCUAGUGUAGCGGUGAAAUGCGUAGAUAUUAGGAGGAACACCAGUGGCGAAGGCGGCUUACUGGACUGUAACUGACGUUGAGGCUCGAAAGCGUGGGGAGCAAACAGGAUUAGAUACCCCGGUAGUC